GGAAAUGUGCCUGAGCUUUUAAGGGUCACUUUGAUAAAGUGAACACAGAGGUGCACCAACCCUCUCAUUUCCU
rnacentral:tRNA from 1 species